rnacentral:rRNA from 1 species
UGGGGAAUAAUGCACAAUGGAGGGAACUCUGAUGCAGCGACGCCGCGUGAACGAAGAAGGCUUUCGAGUCGUAAAGUUCUUUUAUAUGGGAAGAUAAUGACGGUACCAUAAGAAAAAGCCCCGGCUAACUACGUGCCAGCAGCCGCGGUAAUACGUAGGGGGCUAGCGUUGGCCGGAAUCACUGGGCGUAAAGGGUUCGCAGGCGGAAAUGCAAGUCAGGUGUAAAAGGCAGUAGCUUAACUACUAUAAGCAUUUGAAACUGCAUAUCUUGAGAAGAGUAGAGGUAAGUGGAAUUUUUAGUGUAGCGAUGAAAUGCGUAGAUAUUAAAAAGAAUACCGGUGGCGAAGGCGACUUACUGGGCUCAUUCUGACGCUGAGGAACGAAAGCGUGGGUAGCAAACAGG